GACGAACGCUGGCGGCGUGCCUAAUACAUGCAAGUAGAACGCUGAAGAGAGGAGCUUGCUCUUCUUGGAUGAGUUGCGAACGGGUGAGUAACGCGUAGGUAACCUGCCUUGUAGCGGGGGAUAACUAUUGGAAACGAUAGCUAAUACCGCAUAACAAUGGAUGACACAUGUCAUUUAUUUGAAAGGGGCAAUUGCUCCACUACAAGAUGGACCUGCGUUGUAUUAGCUAGUAGGUGAGGUAACGGCUCACCUAGGCGACGAUACAUAGCCGACCUGAGAGGGUGAUCGGCCACACUGGGACUGAGACACGGCCCAGACUCCUACGGGAGGCAGCAGUAGGGAAUCUUCGGCAAUGGGGGCAACCCUGACCGAGCAACGCCGCGUGAGUGAAGAAGGUUUUCGGAUCGUAAAGCUCUGUUGUAAGUCAAGAACGAGUGUGAGAGUGGAAAGUUCACACUGUGACGGUAGCUUACCAGAAAGGGACGGCUAACUACGUGCCAGCAGCCGCGGUAAUACGUAGGUCCCGAGCGUUGUCCGGAUUUAUUGGGCGUAAAGCGAGCGCAGGCGGUUUGAUAAGUCUGAAGUUAAAGGCUGUGGCUCAACCAUAGUUCGCUUUGGAAACUGUCAAACUUGAGUGCAGAAGGGGAGAGUGGAAUUCCAUGUGUAGCGGUGAAAUGCGUAGAUAUAUGGAGGAACACCGGUGGCGAAAGCGGCUCUCUGGUCUGUAACUGACGCUGAGGCUCGAAAGCGUGGGGAGCGAACAGGAUUAGAUACCCUGGUAGUCCACGCCGUAAACGAUGAGUGCUAGGUGUUGGAUCCUUUCCGGGAUUCAGUGCCGCAGCUAACGCAUUAAGCACUCCGCCUGGGGAGUACGACCGCAAGGUUGAAACUCAAAGGAAUUGACGGGGGCCCGCACAAGCGGUGGAGCAUGUGGUUUAAUUCGAAGCAACGCGAAGAACCUUGCCAGGUCUUGACAUCCCGAUGCUAUUUCUAGAGAUAGAAAGUUACUUCGGUACAUCGGUGACAGGUGGUGCAUGGUUGUCGUCAGCUCGUGUCGUGAGAUGUUGGGUUAAGUCCCGCAACGAGCGCAACCCCUAUUGUUAGUUGCCAUCAUUCAGUUGGGCACUCUAGCGAGACUGCCGGUAAUAAACCGGAGGAAGGUGGGGAUGACGUCAAAUCAUCAUGCCCCUUAUGACCUGGGCUACACACGUGCUACAAUGGUUGGUACAACGAGUUGCGAGUCGGUGACGGCAAGCUAAUCUCUUAAAGCCAAUCUCAGUUCGGAUUGUAGGCUGCAACUCGCCUACAUGAAGUCGGAAUCGCUAGUAAUCGCGGAUCAGCACGCCGCGGUGAAUACGUUCCCGGGCCU
rnacentral:rRNA from 1 species